AAAAAUGAUUUUUUUUUCUGGUGGAAGCCCAAGUGGGUGUUUCAAGUGUAGACAGCGUGCACGCAUUGUUUCUGGUGGAAGCCCAAUAAGAUCACUUCUCUCGCACAUACACAUCACACACCUCAUAGUCUCACCAUUCCUUAAAAAAAUUAGUCUCACCGCUCAAGAAAAAAAUUAGUCUGACACGGUGCUCUUGCCUGAUCCCCUUUUCAUCUUGUUCUAUCCCCUCUAUACAAAUUUUGUUCCACCCGAGUGCUGCGGAUUUAAUUCCCAACACCACCUCAGUUUCCCCUCUUGAUUCCUUGCCGUGACCUUGCUCUUACACAACUGCACGCACGGGGUGGCCAUCUCGUGUGCCUAAUUUGGCUCCCUGUACGCCUCCUCGAUCUGCUAGGCCGAACGGCGAUGGAGGGUUAGCAGGGCUCGAUGAGAAACUGCGCAAUGAAGGAGGCGAGCUUGUCGAUCUUGAAGUGCCGCGGUCGUCGGCGUCCUGGGAGGUGACGCGGGCGCUGAUUUCGUCUCGCACAUCCAGCUUGAAUCCACCUCAAUUGUGAGGAUGCUGGCGGCGUGUCUUCCAUCGCAUCGUGGCCGUCCCGGAGCGAGGCGCCCCGGCAGGUCAUCUUCAUCCUACUUCGGCGGCUCAUUUUUCACCUGCAGAUGGUACUUACUGGAGGCUCGCUCGGCCGAUGGCGCAAUUGAGGAUAUUGGGGGAACUUGCUUGUGAGAGUUCCUUUUCUUCUUUGAGGGAAAGCCAUCAUGGUGGUAUAUAUUCAUUUGGAGUAACUGUAAUAGCAACAUGAUGAUGGGUACAAGUCUAACCUAUCAUGAGUUUAUCUAUGGAAUCAUGAGAUUGAUUGUGAGAUUGGUGUAAAGAAUAUGUGAUAGGUCGUAAGAUUGAUCGUGAGAUUAGUGUAUAUGGUAUUGGAAACAAAAACAAAAGAGAAUACAUGCAAAUGAUCAGUGCAGGGUUGGAUUGUUUGGGAGAA